AACGAACGCUGGCGGCAUGCCUAACACAUGCAAGUCGAACGAGAUCUUCGGGUCUAGUGGCGCACGGGUGCGUAACGCGUGGGAAUCUGCCCUUUGGUUCGGAAUAACAGUUGGAAACGACUGCUAAUACCGGAUGAUGACGAAAGUCCAAAGAUUUAUCGCCAGAGGAUGAGCCCGCGUAGGAUUAGGUAGUUGGUGUGGUAAAGGCGCACCAAGGCGACGAUCCUUAGCUGGUCUGGGAGGAUGAUCAGCCACACUGGGACUGAGACACGGCCCAGACUCCUACGGGAGGCAGCAGUGGGGAAUAUUGGACAAUGGGCGAAAGCCUGAUCCAGCAAUGCCGCGUGAGUGAUGAAGGCCUUAGGGUUGUAAAGCUCUUUUACCCGGGAUGAUAAUGACAGUACCGGGAGAAUAAGCUCCGGCUAACUCCGUGCCAGCCGCCGCAGUAA
rnacentral:rRNA from 1 species